rnacentral:lncRNA from 1 species
AAAACUCAUUUUUGUACAAAGUUGACAAGACAGCACAGGCCUAGCACCAAAAUUCUCUGUCAGAUUGCGAAUUUGGGAACAAUGUCGUUGAGUUGUGUUCUUCCAUUUUUGCCCUUGUUUAGCAAUUGUUGCCCUCAGAUUUCCCUUAGAAUUUCCAGCCCUACCUUCUGAUUUCCCAAUCGACUCGAACGACACCCCUUGCUUCUCCUAUAACUGGAUCUCCCUGUCGGCGAGAUUUUCAAGCCACAUUGUCUCGACCACCUAAGAUUCGUCGUCCAGUAUUCGCCGGCUGAAGGUGAGGUAGCCCAAUACGAGAUCGGUGCGGUUCGUUUUCCUUGUACCUAGAUCUCUCCGCCUACCAUCUUCGGCCAACAUCCAUUGAAGCACCUUACCAACGUCUACUCCAGGCUCCUACCGGCGGUAACUGGGCUCUUCAACAACCAAUGGGUAAUUGCUCUUCCAUCUAACCACCGGAAUUGCCAUAGCUCGUCGUACAGCAAGGUUCGACCCCGGGUUAGUUUCAGCACCCGAGUUGUGUUCUCCCAUUUUUGCCUUUGUUUAGCAAUUGUUGCCCUCAGAUUUCCCUUAGAAUUUCCAGCCCUACCUUCUGAUUUCCCAAUCGACUCGAACGACACCCCUUGCUUCUCCUAUAACUGGAUCUCCCUGUCGGCGAGAUUUUCAAGCCACAUUGUCUCGACCACCUAAGAUUCGUCGUCCAGUAUUCGCCGGCUGAAGGUGAGGUAGCCCAAUACGAGAUCGGUGCGGUUCGUUUUCCUUGUACCUAGAUCUCUCCGCCUACCAUCUUCGGCCAACAUCCAAUGAAGCACCUUACCAACGUCUACUCCAGGCUCCUACCGGCGGUAACUGGGCUCUUCAAC